AUAGGAUAACGGAUGGGAAAUCACGCCAGUGGGACACCAACAGCACGUCGAGUUCAAAGAAGACCCUAAUUCACUCUGGGUCGGGACCUGCUGUGCUAACCAAGCUGCUUAGAAGACGAGGGAGCUUGGAUGCAUGUGGAGAGGACCAGACCAAAAUUCCUUCCCUACCAUGGUAGUCACCAGCCCUAUAUGGCUCCUCCCAGGAUCUAGACUGCCUGACUCUAGUUGACCAUUUGCACCUCUGGAUCUCUGUUCAUCUAGAUCUGAUAGCCGACCACAUAAUAGAACACAGAGAUGGCCAUGCUCUGUUUGUGAGGCCUUCAGACAUCGAUGGUCCAGCACAGCCACACCCCAUUCGUGAGGCCUUUAGAUACAGCUGAUCGGAGCUCA
rnacentral:lncRNA from 1 species